rnacentral:snoRNA from 1 species
CAUUCAUGGUGAGGACAAUCUGAUAUCUAUCCUUGAAAACGCUCCCAUGCUUCUAGAAUGGUUUCUGUCUUCUGCCGUUGGAAACUGACAAUAUUUCCUCUUAAGG